GACGAACGCUGGCGGCGUGCUUAACACAUGCGAGUCGAACGGAAAGGCCCUGCUUUUGUGGGGUGCUCGAGUGGCGAACGGGUGAGUAACACGUGAGUAACCUGCCCUUGACUUUGGGAUAACUUCAGGAAACUGGGGCUAAUACCGGAUAGGAGCUCCUGCUGCAUGGUGGGGGUUGGAAAGUUUCGGCGGUUGGGGAUGGACUCGCGGCUUAUCAGCUUGUUGGUGGGGUAGUGGCUUUCCAAGGCUUUGACGGGUAACCGGCCUGAGAGGGUGACCGGCCACAUUGGGACUGAGAUACGGCCCAGACUCCUACGGGAGGCAGCAGUGGGGAAUAUUGCACAAUGGGCGGAAGCCUGAUGCAGCAACGCCGCGUGCGGGAUGACGGCCUUCGGGUUGUAAACCGCUUUCGCCUGUGACGAAGCGUGAGUGACGGUAAUGGGUAAAGAAGCACCGGCUAACUACGUG
rnacentral:rRNA from 1 species